CACGUAGGGGGCAAGCGUUGUCCGGAAUUAUUGGGCGUAAAGAGCGCGUAGGCGGUCCGGUAAGUCGGUUGUGAAAGUCGGGGGCUCAACCCUCGGAUGCCGAUCGAUACUGCCGGGCUAGAGUCCGGAAGAGGCGAGUGGAAUUCCUGGUGUAGCGGUGAAAUGCGCAGAUAUCAGGAGGAACACCAAUGGCGAAGGCAGCUCGCUGGGACGGUACUGACGCUGAGGCGCGAAAGCGUGGGGAGCAAACAGG
rnacentral:rRNA from 1 species